UCGGAUAUGGUGCAAGGGAUAGCAUGGUCUCGUGAAUCCUCCCCAAGGCCGGGUUGAGAGAGAGGCAGAUCGAGGUUCGAUUCCUCGUGUUCGGA